rnacentral:rRNA from 1 species
ACAUCACCAACGCCCGGGUAUUACGAGCCUAGCUUAAAACCCAAAGGACUUGACGGUGUCCCAUCCAACUAGAGGAGCCUGUUCUAUAAUCGACAAUCCCCGAUAUACCUAACCCCGCUUUGCCUAUCAGCCUGUAUACCUCCGUCGCAAGCUUACCAUGUGAAUGCUAGUAGUAAGUUAAAUGGUCUUUACAUCAACACGUCAGGUCAAGGUGCAGCUCAUGGCAGGGAAAGCAAUGGGCUACAAUUUCUAACAUAGAACAUACGAAAUGCUUCAUGAAACACAGCCACGAAGGCGGAUUUAGCAGUAAAAAGA